rnacentral:tRNA from 1 species
GCCCGCCUAGCUCAAUCGGAUAGAGCGUCAGACUUUUACGAAAGCAAUUCGGGCAAUCUGAAGGCUGCGAGUUCGACCCUCGCGGUGGGCU